rnacentral:ncRNA from 2 species
CGCCAUCCACAGGGGUGCUCCGUAUUGCCGGGGCUGAGAUGCGGCACGCUAAGUGCGCGGACCCUAAAGCUGAUCUGGGUAAUACCAGCGGAGCGAGGCGGGCGAUGUUUUCCG